rfam:Salmo salar isolate Sally breed double haploid chromosome ssa07, whole genome shotgun sequence.
CCCUCUGGCUCAGUUGGUAGAGCAUGGUGUUUGCAACGCCACCAUGGUGUGUGCAACGCCAGGGUUGUGGGUUUGAUUCCCAUGGGGG